rnacentral:misc_RNA from 1 species
CGAGUUAGGGUCUUCUCAGGCCCGACCUCCCAACCCUUUGUUUACCCGACCCAUGUUGCUUCGGCGGGCCCGCCGGUUUCGACGGCCGCCGGAGGACCGCCUAUUCAGGUCCUCUGGCCCGCGCCCGCCGGUAGCCAAUUCUACCAAACUCUUGAAUCAAAUCGUGUCCAAUGUCUGAGUAUAUUACAAAAUAAAAGCAAAANUUUCAACAACGGAUCUNUUGGUUCUGGCNUCGA